GAAUCUGCCUUCAGGUCUGGGACAACCACUGGAAACGGUGGCUAAUACCGGAUGUGCCGCAAGGUGAAAGGUUAACUGCCUGAAGAUGAGCUCGCGUCUGAUUAGCUAGUAGGUAGUGUAAUGGACUACCUAGGCGACGAUCAGUAGCUGGUCUGAGAGGACGAUCAGCCACACUGGGACUGAGACACGGCCCAGACUCCUACGGGAGGCAGCAGUGGGGAAUUUUCCGCAAUGGGCGAAAGCCUGACGGAGCAAUACCGCGUGAGGGAGGAAGGCUCUUGGGUCGUAAACCUCUUUUCUCAGGGAAGAACACAAUGACGGUACCUGAGGAAUAAGCAUCGGCUAACUCCGUGCCAGCAGCCGCGGUAAUACGGAGGAUGCAAGCGUUAUCCGGAAUGAUUGGGCGUAAAGCGUCCGCAGGUGGCUAUGUAAGUCUGCUGUUAAAGAGUCUAGCUCAACUAGAUAAGAGCAGUGGAAACUACAUGGCUAGAGUGCGUUCGGGGCAGAGGGAAUUCCUGGUGUAGCGGUGAAAUGCGUAGAGAUCAGGAAGAACACCGGUGGCGAAGGCGCUCUGCUAGGCCGCAACU
rnacentral:rRNA from 4 species